UGGGGAAUAUUGCACAAUGGGCGAAAGCCUGAUGCAGCAACGCCGCGUGAGGGAAGACGGUCUUCGGAUUGUAAACCUUUGUCCUUGGUGACGAAAAGAAUGACGGUAGCCGAGGAGGAAGCCACGGCUAACUACGUGCCAGCAGCCGCGGUAAUACGUAGGUGGCAAGCGUUGUCCGGAAUUACUGGGUGUAAAGGGAGAGUAGGCGGGAUUGCAAGUCCGUUGUUAAAUCUAUCGGCUUAACCGGUAGCUGCGGCGGAAACUGUAGUUCUUGAGUGAAGUAGAGGCAGGCGGAAUUCCUAGUGUAGCGGUGAAAUGCGUAGAUAUUAGGAGGAACACCAGUGGCGAAGGCGGCCUGCUGGGCUUUAACUGACGCUGAGGCUCGAAAGUGUGGGGAGCAAACAGGAUUAGAUACCCUGGUAGU
rnacentral:rRNA from 1 species